CGUCACGAGCCCCUGCCACACCGAUCCUCCCAGCUGCAUCUGCAUUGCAUUGCAUGCACAGGUCGCGCCCACCAUCAGUAGCGGUCGCCGCCAUGCAGAGACUCGUGCGCGUCCUCGUGGUGCUGGGCGUGGCCGCCGCGGCGUCGGCGCAGGGCCCGACGGCGGCGCCAACGACGCCCACGCCGGCAACCCCCGCGGCGCCCGCGCCCGCGACGGCGUCCAGCAACAUCACGGGCGUGCUGGCCAAGGCCGGGCAGUUCAACACCUUCAUCCGGCUGCUCAAGUCCACGGGCGUGGCGUCGCAGAUCGACAACCAGGUCGCCAACGGCGGGAACGGGGUCACGGUGUUCGCGCCCACGGACAACGCGUUCCAGUCGCUGCCCUCGGGCACGCUCAACUCGCUGUCGGACCAGGACAAGAACGCGCUGGUGCAGUACCACGUGGUGUCCACCGCCAUCCCCAUGUCGCAGUUCGACACCGUCAGCAACCCGCUCCGCACGCAGGCCGGCAGCGCCUCGCCGGGGGAGUUCCCACUCAACGUCACCUCCUCCGAGGGCCAGCAGGUCAACGUCACCACGGGCGUCGUCACCGCCACCGUCGACAACUCCCUCUACUCGGGCGACAGCCUCGUCGUCUACCAGGUCAACAAGGUGCUGCUCCCCAUGAAGCUCUUCGGCGCCGCGGAGGCGCCCGCGCCCGCGCCGCUCGCGCCGGCCAAGAAGAAGGGCAAGACGCCGGCGGCCGUCGCCGACUCGCCCGACGCGGCGGAGGCGUCCCCGGACGCCACGACCACGUCGCUCGCGCCCGCGAGGCUGACGCGGGGUGGCCUCGCCACGGCUCUUGCGCUCGCCGGCGUUUGGUGGGGGCUGUAGUCACGGCGAGGAGUGUCUCGUCAGGUCUCUCCGGUGGCCGUGACAUCUAUACUUUUUUUUUCGUUCGCGGGUCUUGUUUGUCUUUUCGUUUUUACUUUAUUGCCCAUUUUUGGAUGAAUUGUUCUUCCCUGUCAUUCAAAUUGCUAGGAGUAUGUCAUGUCAUGUAACGUCCUUGUCCCAUUUUUAUGUAAUGUUAACUAAAUAAAUAUGAGUUGUGUAUAUUUCAGUACCCCGGUUCUAUUUGCUCAGCUCUUAUACGCACACAAACAU
rnacentral:misc_RNA from 1 species